rnacentral:rRNA from 1 species
GACGAACGCUGGCGGCGUGCUUAACACAUGCAAGUCGAACGGUAAGGCCCUUCGGGGUACACGAGUGGCGAACGGGUGAGUAACACGUGGGUGAUCUGCCCUGCACUUCGGGAUAAGCCUGGGAAACUGGGUCUAAUACCGGAUAGGACUCCUGGCUUCCUGGUUGGGGGUGGAAAGCUUUUGCGGUGUGGGAUGGGCCCGCGGCCUAUCAGCUUGUUGGUGGGGUAAUGGCCUACCAAGGCGACGACGGGUAGCCGGCCUGAGAGGGUGACCGGUCACACUGGGACUGAGAUACGGCCCAGACUCCUACGGGAGGCAGCAGUGGGGAAUAUUGCACAAUGGGCGCAAGCCCGAUGCAGCGACGCCGCGUGAGGGAUGACGGCCUUCGGGUUGUAAACCUCUUUCAGCUAUGACGAAGCGCAAGUGACGGUAGUAGCAGAAGAAGGACCGGCCAACUACGUGCCAGCAGCCGCCGUAA